AACGUAGGAGGCGAGCGUUAUCCGGAUUUACUGGGCGUAAAGCGCGUGUAGGCGGCCUUGCAAGUUGGAUGUGAAAGCCCACGGCUCAACCGUGGAAGCGCAUCCAAAACUGCAUCGCUCGAGUCUCGGAGAGGAAGGUGGAAUGCUUGGUGUAGCGGUGAAAUGCGUAGAUAUCAAGAGGAACACCUGAGGUGAAGACGGGUUGCUGGGCUGACACUGACGCUGAGGCGCGAAAGCUAGGGGAGCAAACGGG
rnacentral:rRNA from 1 species